rnacentral:tRNA from 2 species
GUAAAUAUAGUUUAACAAAAACACUAGAUUGUGGGUCUAGAAACAGAAACUUAAUAUUUCUUAUUUACC